rnacentral:rRNA from 1 species
AUUGAACGCUGGCGGCAGGCCUAACACAUGCAAGUCGAGCGGAUGAAGGGAGCUUGCUCCUGGAUUCAGCGGCGGACGGGUGAGUAAUGCCUAGGAAUCUGCCUGGUAGUGGGGGAUAACGUCCGGAAACGGGCGCUAAUACCGCAUACGUCCUGAGGGAGAAAGUGGGGGAUCUUCGGACCUCACGCUAUCAGAUGAGCCUAGGUCGGAUUAGCUAGUUGGUGGGGUAAAGGCCUACCAAGGCGACGAUCCGUAACUGGUCUGAGAGGAUGAUCAGUCACACUGGAACUGAGACACGGUCCAGACUCCUACGGGAGGCAGCAGUGGGGAAUAUUGGACAAUGGGCGAAAGCCUGAUACAGCCAUGCCGCGUGUGUGAAGAAGGUCUUCGGAUUGUAAAGCACUUUAAGUUGGGAGGAAGGGCAGUAAGUUAAUACCUUGCUGUUUUGACGGUACCAACAGAAUAAGCACCGGCUAACUUCGUG